rnacentral:rRNA from 1 species
AUUGAACGCUGGCGGCAGGCCUAACACAUGCAAGUCGAGCGAGCGGCGGACGGGUGAGUAAUGGCUGGGAAACUGCCUGAUGGCGGGGGAUAACUACUGGAAACGGUAGCUAAUACCACAUACCAUUAGCUGUGCCCAGAGGGGAUUAGCUAGUAGGUGGGGUAACGGCUCACCUGGGCGACGAUCCCUAGCUGGUCUGAGAGGAUGACCAGCCACACUGGGACGGAGACACGGUCCAGACUCCUACGGGAGGCAGCAGUAGGGAAUAUUGGGCAAUGGGCGAAAGCCUGAUCGAGCCAUGCCGCGUGUGUGAAGAAGGCCUUCGGGUUGUAAAGCACUUUCAGCGGGGAGGCGUUACCCGAAGAGGAAGCACCGGCUAACUCCGUGCCAGCAGCCGCGGUAAUUC